GCCGCGGUAAUACGGAGGGUGCAAGCGUUGUCCGGAUUUAUUGGGUUUAAAGGGUGCGUAGGCGGCUUAUUAAGUCAGUGGUGAAAGCCAACAGCUCAACUGGAGAACUGCCAUUGAUACUGCCGGGCUUGAGUACAGACGAGGUUGGCGGAAUUGAUUGUGUAGCGGUGAAAUGCAUAGAUACAAUCAAGAACUCCGAUUGCGUAGGCAGCUAACUAGGCUGUAACUGACGCUGAGGCACGAAAGCGUGGGGAGCGAACAG
rnacentral:rRNA from 1 species